rnacentral:tRNA from 3 species
CGGGGUGUAGCGCAGCUUGGUAGCGCACUUGGUUUGGGACCAAGGGGUCGCAGGUUCGAAUCCUGUCGCCCCGACCA